GUGAGGAAUAUUGCGCAAUGGAGGCAACUCUGACGCAGCCAUGCCGCGUGCAGGAAGAAGGCGCUACGCGUUGUAAACUGCUUUUAACCGGGAAGAAACCCCAGGACGUGUCCUGGGUUGACGGUACCGGAGGAAUAAGCACCGGCUAACUUCGUGCCAGCAGCCGCGGUAAUACGAAGGGUGCAAGCGUUAUCCGGAUUCGUUGGGUUUAAAGGGUGCGUAGGCGGAGCGUUAAGUCAGUGGUGACAUCCUGAAGCUGAACUGUAGACUUGCCAGUGAUACUGGCGCUCUUGAGUGCGCUUGAAGUGGGCGGAAUGUGCCGUGUAGCGGUGAAAUGCUUAGAUAUGGCACAGAACACCAAUUGCGAAGGCAGCUCACUAAGGCGAUACUGACGCUGAGGCACGAAAGCGUGGGGAUCGAACAGGAUUAGAAACCCGAGUAGUCC
rnacentral:rRNA from 1 species